rnacentral:rRNA from 1 species
GUCCAAACGUUAUUCGGAAUCACUGGGCUUACAGAGUUCGUAGGCGGUUCUACAAGUGGGGUGUGAAAGCCCUCGGCUCAACCGAGGAACUGCGCUCCAAACUGUAGAACUAGAGGGAGAUAGAGGUGAGCGGAACUGAUGGUGGAGCGGUGAAAUGCGUUGAUAUCAUCAGGAACACCGGAGGCGAAGGCGGCUCACUGGGUCUCUUCUGACGCUGAGGAACGAAAGCUAGGGGAGCAAACGGG